ensembl:lncRNA
GACAGGCUUAGUUUAGGGCCAAAGAAGUUUGAGCUGUUGUGGAGAACAGUGGGAAGAGGCAGCAGAAGUUAAGUGACAGCCUUGGAGUUUUCAGUGUGGAAUGGUGCUAACAGUGGCCAGACUAGUGACUUGGACUCAUAAGACCUCUUAACUUUGCUGUAGGUCACCUGGAGUUCUGUAACCAGAAAAGUGAUGAGCUAAGAUUGUUGCUAUGACUAAUGAUUAAUGAAGGUCUUUAAAACACUGAGCUUUUUAUACACACUAAUUGAUACUGUAUUUUUUAAGAGUGCAGUCAUACAGAAAUCACCAGACUCUUCAAAAAAUGAAUGCAACAAAUAACUUGGAAACACAACCCUAAUGACCAUAUUUUAAAAAUUUUUUUCCCCAUAUUGAUACGAGACCAUGAAGACCUAAGCCAAGCUCUAUUUUCAGAUGUGAUAGAAUGCAUAGGUGGGUUCUGUGCUAAUGUCUCCCUGACGAAGCAAGCAGUGUCCUUGGAUCCUGAGACAGCGUGGGGCAAAGUGGCUGGGAAUUCUCAGAAGACAAUGGUGGAGGCUGCAUUUGAUGGAGACCAAGAGAUGGAGGUUCAGAGACAUCAUCUCGCUCAUGUCAGAGCUGAGGAUAUUGACUGCAUAGCAUCCCAUGGCGGCAUGUAGAGCAAAGAAGUUAUCUUUUGGUUUUCCACCAACCCACACGUUUCCUGACAUGAAUUUUUUUAAAUGACUUUAGUUGUUUAUUUAAAUUAAAAAAAAAAACCUAAAUUAAAAAAAUUUAGUUAAAAUGUAUAGUGCUUACUAUGAGCCAGCCCUGUUCUAAGUGUUUUUUCCCCCCCAUAUAUUAACUCUUUUAAUAGUAUUCACUCUAUAAGGUAUGUACUUUCCUCUUUUACAGAUGAAGAAACUGAGGCACUGAAUGAUGAAAGAAGUUUGUUCAAGGACAAAACCAGUAAGUGAAAGAGCUGAGAUUUGAACCCAGGGGUUUAGCUAACCGAUAUUGUGCUUUUAAUUUCUGCUCUUUACUAUUUCUUUCUUUUUAAAAAUAGUUAUUUAUUUAUUUGGCUGCUUCAGGUCUUAGUUGCAGCAUGGGAUCUUUUUGUGAUGUGUGGGUUUCUCUCUAACUGUAUUUCAUGGGCUCAGUGGUUGCAGCAUAGGCUUAGUUGUUCCCUGGUAUGUGGGAGCUUAGUUCCUGGACCAGGGAUUGAACCCAUGUUCCCUGUAUUGGAAGGUAAAUUCUUAACCACUGUUCUACCAAGGAAGUCCUGCUCUACUGUUUCAGCGUGUAAGUCUAUUAAAUGAGGUUGUUGUUGUUGUUUAGUUCCUAAGUCGUGGCCAAUUCUUUUGCGACUCUAUAGACUAUAGCCCGCCAACCUCCUCUAUCCAUGGGAUUACCAAGGCAAGCAUACUGAGGUGGGUUGUUAUUUCCUUCUCCAGGGGAUCUUCCCAACCCAGGGAUCGAUCCCCCAUCUCCUGCAUUGGCAGGAGAGUUCUUUACCACUGAGCCACCAGGAAAGUCCAUUAAAUGAGAUACCACACAAAAAAUAUAAAAUGCAGGACUGUGCAUAGGAGGCCCUCAAAAAUUUUACUUCCCCUUCUGUUAAAAUGAUGGUGUACACCUGAAACUAACACAACAUUGUUAAUCAACUAUACUCCAAUAUAAAAUAAAAAUGUCGAUGUAUGUGUUUAUAUCUAGGGA